rnacentral:rRNA from 1 species
AGAGGAGCUUGCUCUUCUUGGAUGAGUUGCGAACGGGUGAGUAACGCGUAGGUAACCUGCCUUGUAGCGGGGGAUAACUAUUGGAAACGAUAGCUAAUACCGCAUAACAAUGGAUGACACAUGUCAUUUAUUUGAAAGGGGCAAUUGCUCCACUACAAGAUGGACCUGCGUUGUAUUAGCUAGUAGGUGAGGUAAUGGCUCACCUAGGCGACGAUACAUAGCCGACCUGAGAGGGUGAUCGGCCACACUGGGACUGAGACACGGCCCAGACUCCUACGGGAGGCAGCAGUAGGGAAUCUUCGGCAAUGGGGGCAACCCUGACCGAGCAACGCCGCGUGAGUGAAGAAGGUUUUCGGAUCGUAAAGCUCUGUUGUAAGUCAAGAACGGGUGUGAGAGUGGAAAGUUCACACUGUGACGGUAGCUUACCAGAAAGGGACGGCUAACUACGUGCCAGCAGCCGCGGUAAUACGUAGGUCCCGAGCGUUGUCCGGAUUUAUUGGGCGUAAAGCGAGCGCAGGCGGUUUGAUAAGUCUGAAGUUAAAGGCUGUGGCUCAACCAUAGUUCGCUUUGGAAACUGUCAAACUUGAGUGCAGAAGGGGAGAGUGGAAUUCCAUGUGUAGCGGUGAAAUGCGUAGAUAUAUGGAGGAACACCGGUGGCGAAAGCGGCUCUCUGGUCUGUAACUGACGCUGAGGCUCGAAAGCGUGGGGAGCGAACAGGAUUAGAUACCCUGGUAGUCCACGCCGUAAACGAUGAGUGCUAGGUGUUGGAUCCUUUCCGGGAUUCAGUGCCGCAGCUAACGCAUUAAGCACUCCGCCUGGGGAGUACGACCGCAAGGUUGAAACUCAAAGGAAUUGACGGGGGCCCGCACAAGCGGUGGAGCAUGUGGUUUAAUUCGAAGCAACGCGAAGAACCUUACCAGGUCUUGACAUCCCGAUGCUAUUUCUAGAGAUAGAAAGUUACUUCGGUACAUCGGUGACAGGUGGUGCAUGGUUGUCGUCAGCUCGUGUCGUGAGAUGUUGGGUUAAGUCCCGCAACGAGCGCAACCCCUAUUGUUAGUUGCCAUCAUUCAGUUGGGCACUCUAGCGAGACUGCCGGUAAUAAACCGGAGGAAGGUGGGGAUGACGUCAAAUCAUCAUGCCCCUUAUGACCUGGGCUACACACGUGCUACAAUGGUUGGUACAACGAGUUGCGAGUCGGUGACGGCGAGCUAAUCUCUUAAAGCCAAUCUCAGUUCGGAUUGUAGGCUGCAACUCGCCUACAUGAAGUCGGAAUCGCUAGUAAUCGCGGAUCAGCACGCCGCGGUGAAUACGUUCCCGGGCCUUGUACACACCGCCCGUCACACCACG